GGGAGAUUCUCUUCACCCGGCGGAUCCUCGGAGAGAUUAGAGAUCCAUACCGGGCUGUGGUUCGCGGGACUUGGUGAACCCAACUCUGUAGCUCGGAGCCAGGAGAAGAUCAAGUUUAGGACUGGGGGGGUGUCAGAGAAUCGUAUUGUCUGCGUUAUCAGUAUCUUGUUAUUUCCCUUUUCUGUGAGUGUAAGGCUUGUACUAUGACUGUAUUUGUAUUUUUGCAAACUAUCGGAUUGUAUUUGUAUUCUGUAGGGCUGCUAAAGUCCGUACUUGUAGUAUUUCAGUUUCCAAUAUCCUAUUUGUGCUUUUAUGUUCUAUUCAUAUCUGCUUGUUAGGGUUGACUCUGACCAGGUCAAAUCUGAGGCCUUGCACCCAGUGGGG